rnacentral:lncRNA from 1 species
CUAACUUAGCAAAUGUUAGCUCUCUUUCCUGGGUUGGCAGAGGGGCUCUGCUGUCUUAAGCAUCAGGGAUCCAGGCAGCAGGGCAUCUUUUGGACAGGAUUUCUAAUCUCCAUGGCAGGAGAAAAGGAGUGAGUGUCCUGGCUCUUAUGAUUCCCCACCAGAAGGGACAGGAGUCGUUUCCUCUCAUGUGCUGUUGACCAAACCAGCCCUACAGGUGUGCCUGACUUCACGUGAGGUGGGAAAGAGUCAUCCCACUGUGUCCCAAGGAAGGCCGGACCCCAUUAAUGACCACCAGAGGUCAUGAGCAUGAAGAUGGAGAGGAAUGGAUGAAUUGGAAGUCCGUUUGGAAGGAGUAGAGGGGCGGUAAUACAGAGAAGUCCCAUGCAGAGAAGGGAGGAGAAGGAGGAUGAGGCUGACUCCGGGGUCGUGUGCAUGGGGUGGCUGGGGGUCCCAGCUGUGAGAUGAGCGGAGAGUGGCGCUGCAGGGGCAGGCUUGGGGUGGACAUGCCAAUCUGAAGUUUGGUAAAGAGGUCUGGCUGGAGAGACAAGCUUGGGUGUCACCAAGUACAGAUCGUGAUCAAUACCUUGGAAAUGGAUGACUCUCAGCCUGUGGGUUUGGACCCCUGGUUCUUGGGCCUUCAGACCCACUGGCCUCCAAUGGCUAGUGGUGGGACUUCUUAGCCACCAUGAUCAUGGGAGCCAAGUCCUAUAAUGAGUCCCCUCCCACGUGAGUCCCAUUGGUCCUGUUUCUUUGGAGAAUAUUCUCUCCCCAGACAUUUUGGGGUUUUUUACCUGUUUACCUGUCCAGGAACAUUAUUUAAUAUACCUCUUUCCCCAUCCCUCAGCAAUACCCAAAACCCUUUCUGAGUCCCCGUGCCUGCUGUUCUACGUCUCGGCCCAGUGCAGUGGACAGGCCAGGGCCAGGGCCAGGGAGCAGCCUGGCCGCGUAGGUUGCUAGUUUCAGGCUGAGGGCAAAUUUCUUGACAUCUCUGAGGCUUGUUCUUGAUAUCUGCAGAGUGGAUGUGACUACGUUAAAGUCCUCGUAGUGGCAAAUGUCAGGAUUACCUCUGGCUAGCUUUAGCGGACAAGUGACGUUAGAAGGGCUGAGUGGCUCCUGGCUUCUGAGUCAGGGCCAGGAAAGACAGGUCCAGGGUGGUCAGCAGGGGAAAUGAUCCUGGUGGUGCAGCUACUCAAGCUCUGUGAUUGAAGGACCAGUUCUUAAAAAUUUCGUGACGUCCUAGUCCAGUGCUUCAGAAAGUGCGAUGAAGUCAAACUAGGAGUAAAUGGAGUAGAGGGCUUGACGGCAGAAGCCCCUGUUCUAUUAUUAAGGUUCACAGACAGUUACUGCACCAACUUGUGUCUGAGCUUCUGGAAGCCGGUGCAGCUUCUGUGCUCACCUGGCUGGGGACUGAAGGGGGUGCUCACAGCCCCUAGGCCCACAGUCCCCGGGGAGUAGCACUGCCUGCCCCAGAGCGUCCCCAAAGCAGGCUCACUGCCAAGGACCUCCAGUCUUCCCCUCCAGGUGAGCGUGCCACAUUCCCAAGGGCACCUGUUGGACUCAGGCAGUCAGGGGACCAGCCCUUGAGCACAUUGUCACUCUUGGACGGCCUGUCAUUUGGGGCUGGCCAUGCUUACUGAACACCCAUUAAGCUCUGUGUGGUUUAGAUGUAGGAGUGAAUGAAGAACCUUCAGAGGUGAGAUGAAGACCGUGAGAGCCCUGAUCCAAUCAGUGGCUGACCCCUGAUGGAAUCAACAGUGUGGCUGGGGGCAGGCAGGCGUGGCUGGAGUAGGGUCCUGGGGUGCCCUUCGGGUAUGUCUUUGUAUCUGAUGAGCAGUGCUCUUUCUGCCUCCUGGUUCCGCGUCCUGAGCCUCUUUCCUCCACCACACCUUCCCCAGGGUGUUCUGCCUCCCCCUGGGUCCCAGGGAAUAGAGCUGGCCGUCUACGGACUGAGACCUCUGAAUCCAGGAGCCCCAAAUAAACUUAUCCUCCUAAAAUCGGUCUAUCAGGUCUUUUGGUUACGCAGCAAAAAAGCUGCCUAAAACCAGUUCCCACGUUGUGGCUCUGGCUCUCCCUAGGAGGGACCUGGAAAUCCCAGCCUCUCUGGCCACGUGGGAUUUGGGUUUAUGGAGAUCUGAGUCCAGUGAGCAGUGAAGCAGCUGGGCCGCGGGGAAGUGGUUUUGCUAUAUAGGGACACGAGGCCAUUGGGUCGGGAAGUUGGCAGGAGGGCCAGCUCCACACCAGGCCAGCUCAGCAGCUGGACCCUAGGAGUUUCCUGGAAGCCAUCUAAAGCCUGUUUCUCCACCUUUCUAGAAAUUGUUGAACCAGCCCUUCCUCCUAGCUCGAGAAGAUUCUGCUGUCUUCAGUCAUGAACCUUGACAGGCCGAUCCCUAUCUGUUGGAGCACGAUCCCUGAGAAGGUGGCCUCCUGAGCUGAGCCCUCCUGGAGAGUGAGC